rnacentral:rRNA from 1 species
UACGAGGGGAGCUAGCGUUGUUCGGAAUCACUGGGCGUAAAGCGCACGUAGGCGGAUUUGCCAGUCAGGGGUGAAAUCCCGGGGCUCAACCUCGGAACUGCCUUUGAUACAGCAAGUCUUGAGUUCGAGAGAGGUGGGUGGAAUUCCUAGUGUAGAGGUGAAAUUCGUAGAUAUUAGGAAGAACACCGGUGGCGAAGGCGGCUCACUGGCUCAUAUCUGACGCUCAGGCGCGACAGCGUGGGGAUCAAACAGG